rnacentral:sRNA from 1 species
UGUUUGCACUUAGCGGGAAGGGUAAGAACCUUCGACUCGAGCGCCAGCGAGAGAACGUUGCCGCAGGCAACCGCCCGAAGGGCGAGGAGAGAUAGCGACGAGUUAUCCUUCCCCCACCACCA